GAGGGGCUGGCUACGCGAGACUAUUGAGCCUGUGUAAAUCUUCAGGAAUUCUUUAUGGCUUAUCUGACAGUCAGGAUGUCCUUUAUAAUUUUAUUAGAACAGUUAAGGAAGAACUAGUCCUACAGUUUUUAUCCUA